rnacentral:rRNA from 1 species
ACGAACGCUGGCGGCGUGCUUAACACAUGCAAGUCGAACGAUGAACCACUUCGGUGGGGAUUAGUGGCGAACGGGUGAGUAACACGUGGGCAAUCUGCCCUGCACUCUGGGACAAGCCCUGGAAACGGGGUCUAAUACCGGAUAUUGACCUUCACGGGCAUCUGUGAGGUUCGAAAGCUCCGGCGGUGCAGGAUGAGCCCGCGGCCUAUCAGCUUGUUGGUGAGGUAAUGGCUCACCAAGGCGACGACGGGUAGCCGGCCUGAGAGGGCGACCGGCCACACUGGGACUGAGACACGGCCCAG